GACAGAGGUGCCGAGCGUUAGGCGGAAUCACUGGGCUUAAAGCGUGUGUAGGCGGAUUUCUAAGUACCUUGUGAAAUCCCAUGGCUUAACCAUGGAACUGCUGGGUAUACUGGAUAUCUUGAGCCAACUAGGGGCUACCGGAACAAAUGGUGGAGCGGUGAAAUGCGUAGAUAUCGUAAGGAAGACCAGUGGCGAAGGCGGGUCUCUGGACAGUUCCUGACGCUGAGGCACGAAGGCCAGGGGAGCAAACGGG
rnacentral:rRNA from 1 species